rnacentral:rRNA from 1 species
GGACGGGUGAGUAACGCGUGGGUAACGUACCCCAAAGUCCGGGAUAACAGCGGGAAACCGCUGCUAAUACCGGAUGCCUUUACCUUGGGGCAUCUUGAGGUAAAGAAAGGUAACGCUUUGGGAUGGGCCCGCGUCCCAUUAGCUAGUUGGUGAGGUAACGGCUCACCAAGGCGACGAUGGGUAGCCGGCCUGAGAGGGUGGACGGCCACACUGGGACUGAGACACGGCCCAGACUCCUACGGGAGGCAGCAGUAGGGAAUAUUGCGCAAUGGACGGAAGUCUGACGCAGCGACGCCGCGUGAGCGAUGAAGGUCUUCGGAUCGUAAAGCUCUGUCCUUGGGGAAGAAGGUCUUCGGACUUGACGGUACCCAAGAAGAAAGCCCCGGCUAACUACGUGCCAACAGCCGCGGUAAUACGUAGGGGGCGAGCGUUGUCCGGAAUUACUGGGCGUAAAG